rnacentral:rRNA from 1 species
UACGUAGGGUGCGAGCGUUGUCCGGAAUUAUUGGGCGUAAAGAGCUUGUAGGCGGUUUGUCGCGUCUGCUGUGAAAAUCCGGGGCUCAACCCCGGACUUGCAGUGGGUACGGGCAGACUAGAGUGUGGUAGGGGAGACUGGAAUUCCUGGUGUAGCGGUGGAAUGCGCAGAUAUCGGGAAGAACACCCGUGGCGAAGGCGGCACUCUGGGACGGUACUGACGCUGAGACGCGAAAGCGUGGGGAGCCGAACAGG